GACAGAGGCGGCAAGCGUUGUUCGGAUUUAUUGGGUGUAAAGGGCAGGUAGGUGGCCUUGCAAGUCCGGUGUGAAAGCCCACGGCUCAACCGUGGAACUGCAUUGGAAACUGCUUGGCUUGAGUACUGGAGAGGUGAGGGGAAUUCCCGGUGUAAGGGUGAAAUCUGUAGAUAUCGGGAGGAACACCAGUGGCGAAGGCGCCUCACUGGCCGGUUACUGACACUGAGCUGCGAAAGCUAGGGGAG
rnacentral:rRNA from 1 species